GUUGUUCGGAAUUACUGGGCGUAAAGGGCUCGUAGGCGGCCAAUUAAGUCAGACGUGAAAUCCCUCGGCUUAACCGGGGAACUGCGUCUGAUACUGGAUGGCUUGAAUCCGGGAGAGGGAUGCGGAAUUCCAGGUGUAGCGGUGAAAUGCGUAGAUAUCUGGAGGAACACCGGUGGCGAAGGCGGCAUCCUGGACCGGCAUUGACGCUGAGGAGCGAAAGCCAGGGGAGCAAACGGG
rnacentral:rRNA from 1 species